AUCACUUCUUGGCCUUUUGGCUAAGAUCAAGUGUAGUAUACCUUUUAGUCCUUAUUUACACUUUCAGUUAUAAUUUUA
rnacentral:snRNA from 1 species